CGGGACGGAUGUGGCAGCGUGGGACCUCUCGGCUCAACGUGGGAUCUUGACGGCGCCUUUUCUGAUGAACUUUUUACCAAUAACUUAAUCACAAAUUUUACCAUGGAAAAUCAUGUGCAUUCAGAACUAUUGCGACAAUAACUGUUGCACUGAUAUUCUCUAUUUCUGAGGCCUUUUUGGGCCACUAUUUGAAGUGCAAGAAGAUGUGAAACUUGUACAUUCUUCAUCUUUCUUUGGAGUGCAGUCUUCAAAAAAUGACCGGAGAUUAACGCACUCUGUCGGCAUGACCAGACAAUUUCGUUACUGGCAUACUGGCAAAAAAGUUACGAAAACUGCAGUAUAUUGAAGAGUUGUUGAACCCUUUAUUAUGACUUUCACGAAGUUCUCUGAACCGACUAUAGACUUUUAAAAGCAAAUUUGAACAUCGGUGUUCACCUUGUGAGUCGCUGGAGUGGGCGUUUGAAACCGCCACUGACUGCAGUGAAAAACUCCACGACUUGAAAGCAGAACAAGGUUUUUGUCGCGGAAGCACUGACAAGAUGGAACAACAUGAGACAGCCGAGAACCAGAAGUGAUCUCUAGUUCAGCGAAGCGUCACCUCUAAAGAACAGAGCCUCCAGUGGCUGUGACCAGAUGGAAGUUGUCUAUGGAUAUGUGUUGUGGACGUAUAUUGUCUAUGGAUAUGUGGUUUGUGGACGUACAACGGAGGUUCACCAAAGGACCAAGGUAAAGAGAACUCGGCUGUAUAUCCGACCUCCACUUGAAGUUAAUAAUGACCUUCUAUAAGCUAAAGUAGUAGUCCCAGCCAAUUUUCUACCCUCCGUGGUAGUUAAAAAGCAGGACAGUUCUUUUCAGAACUAUAUAGGAAAUCUCACGAAAAUCCGAAAGUCCACUUCCCACUUUAAACAUUGAGACCAAUUAAGAACUCACUCCGGGGUAGUGAAGUUAAUAACGAUCCUCUAUAAGCUAAAGUAGU